GGCUUUUCUGAAGGUAGUGAGUUAUCUCACUCGAUUGUACACAGUUACAAAUUGAACUCCUUGUUCUACUACUUUACCCCCUUCUCGCUACUGCAUUUGACUAGUCUAAA
rnacentral:Y_RNA from 1 species